CAGCAGCCGCGGGAAUACGAAGGGGGCUAGCGUUGCUCGGAAUGACUGGGCGUAAAGGGCGCGUAGGCGGUUCGUACAGUUGGAUGUGAAAUUCCUGGGCUUAACCUGGGGGCUGCAUUCAAUACGUGCGGGCUUGAGUGUGGAAGAGGGUUGUGGAAUUCCCAGUGUAGAGGUGAAAUUCGUAGAUAUUGGGAAGAACACCGGUGGCGAAGGCGGCAACCUGGUCCAUAACUGACGCUGAGGCGCGAAAGCGUGGGGAGCAAACAGGAUUAGAUACCCCAGUAGUCCCUGUCUCUUAUAC
rnacentral:rRNA from 1 species